CUGGUUGGCAUUCUGGGCCUGGUUCAUGCCUACUCUGUUAUUAACUAUACCAGGAUGCCAGCAUAGUU
ensembl:miRNA